UGAUCUGAUACUGAAAAUACACAUACAUCAGUGAAGACGCAACUAACAUCGACGUCCUUGAUUUUCUAAUCCGCAUUGCGCUAGAGCUUCCCCAGAUACAAAUCCUCAUAAACAAACAAACAAUGGCAUUCCUAAAGUCGAUGACAUUAACUCUGAUAUUACUGUAUUAUUGCUGAGGGAGUGAGGUGUAACGGGUGUAGCGAGGUUUCACUUGACUGGGAAUAUUAUUAUCGAGAGGGCUAACCGCGAGCUUUCAGACCAUAACGAUAUGAAAAGGAAGGAAAUUGCUUAUUCAAAGGUGAAUUAUGUCGCUGCUUUCCUGUCAUGCAUUCAAGUGGAGUCGUGCUUUAGAGCAUUGAAAGAAAGAAAACAUAGAAUGAUAAAACUUAUCUUAAAGAUUUCCUCGAGAUUUCAUUAUUAUUAUUUUUUGCCCUUUAGAAUAUCGACAGAUUACAGAUUUGUACAAACUUCAACAAUUUUUGGGGGCCAUUCCCAUGAUUAAUUUUACAGUUUUCAACUGUAUCGUUUAGCGGACGAGAUUUAACAUAAUUUUAGUCGCAAAUGAAAAGAAACAGAAAAAUGACCUGGGGCUUUUUUGGAUAAAGUUGCUUUUUGAAUAGCGUUGUACAAAGCCGACACUAUAAGCUUAUUACUCUCCAUACAUAAGGAAUAUUUCCUUUUUCGUCACUUUGGUUGACGAGCUUACGUGCUUGAAUGUGUCAAAAACUCGACUUUUCUAGCGAUAUUAUUAUUGUUACCUUACAUUAUGUAGUACUACUUAAAUGAGCAAAGGUGUUUUGGAUGAAAAAGUGUAAAUAUUCUGCAAUUUUUCAUUAAAAUAGCUCCUAUGAAAGCGUUAUAUAUGGUUCAUUUAGACACUUGUCACCCAAGUGUGUUGAGGAGUCUGGUUUUGGAGCUGUUUGCUGUGAAUCCGCGUAACUUAUUAUACACCUGCAUGAUAUUGAAUGAAAAUAUAUUCAGGCUCCUCGAUGCUGUUUGUUUAUGCAAAAGCACUUGUUCAUACUGGAUUGAUGCUCCUAUAUUUUUGGCCCUAAAUGACUUUAUCAUUUGCUCGGAUAAGUGUUUCUUUCACACAGAAGAUAAAGACUGGUGAUGGAGUAUUUUUUGAUUGGCCAAUUGCAAUGGUUUCAAGUGCUUGUUCAGGAUCGUUAUAACAUCAAUUCUUUAAAGUAAUACAACGCGCUGCAACAUGGAAUUUGUUGAAUGGACGCGACAGCUGACUGACGUAAUUAUUUUGGUGGUCGACCAUUUGAACCGGGCCAACUGUGUGGAGAAAGAAUCGCAACAAUUUUGAAAAUGAAGGCAUCUUAUUAUCGGAGCUAUAAUCUCGGCGACUCAAAGUCUCUUAUAGUUACCUCUAAGCAUCAUCUAAAAAUCGUCCGCCAAGGUUCCGGGCACGUCCGUGUUGAUUUACUUAUUUUUAUUAUUUUGGCAUCAAAGAUCACCUGAAACGAUUACACGUCAUUCAUCAAAUUCAAAAUGUUUAUUAGAUCUAUCAUUUUCAGUCGUAUUGAUUCAAGGCAUCGCCGUGAGUCAUAGAUAAGCAAUGACCUAGAUGUAUCUUUUUAUAUUUUUUGCGCGAUGCUAGACGCUUUGAAUUCCCUGUAGAAGUUUUAUUCUGAUAAAAUUGUUGUGGUAUUUUUCGCUCUCGCAGAUUUCAUCAACUCUAGAUGUUACCGCGCGGUGAGCGAUUUUCAGUGGAUGUGGGUGUUUCCGUUUUGGAAAUGUAAAAAGCCUAGGAUUCCCCUUGAACUAAUUACUAUUUGUACCGCCGUGACACACGCAAUUUCCGCGUUCUGGUAUGGUUUUUCGCCAUGGAAACUUUGCUUAUGUUUGUGUACACAGAUGUUCUAGCAUAGUGCAUGCUUUUAAAGGGAAGUUCGAUCGACUUUAUAUGAGCGUCAUCGUGUGAUUAAGAGCCUGCGUAAUUUCUGUAAUCGUGCCCAUCUAAAAUCUUGAAAGGUCAAGUUUUUUCUUGUUGUCUUGAAAUAUCAAUUUGGGGUAGGUCUGGAUUUUUCCUAUAACUUGUAUACCCUCCUUCCCCUCAUAAGAGGAAGGGUAGGGAAGAUUUAUCUGACGAUAAGGCGGAUAGGACUCGGAACUCGAAUUUUAACUCUUGAGAUCUCCGUCUUGAGAUCUCCGUUCGGGAUGGGUCGGGGUUUUCCCUGUAUCUCAGGAAAGAUAGGGAAUUUUACACUACCCUUGAAAACAGCGGAAGGUAUUGAAAAUUUGGCGGGGUUUUCCCCUGUCCUCUUUCGGACAUUUUAUAUAUAUAUUUUUUUUAGAAUAGAGAGGCAUAACUUCGCAGCGUAUUUGCUGUUCUCUUUGUUCAAGCGAUCGCAAGAUUAGAAAAAUAAGAUUUCAAGGGAUUUGUGUUUAUCUGCAAGUUAACGAUAUCAAGUUAACCAAUCCGUUUUAAAGAACGCCAGGCAGUCCAUGUAAACUCCUUCCUUCCUUUGACUAAAGAUAAAAAAUCUAACUUACUGACAGGCAGUGAUAAAAUAUUAAUAAUAAUAAUAAUGAUAUUUCGAAAAAAAGUGCUAUCAAUCCUUUAAAAAGCAAGCGGCAUGAGAUUCUUUUUCACAUUUUCAAUGUCUUCCAGAGCGCUGUUAUAACUUAUACUACUACUACUAUAGCUGAAAAUCUAAUUUCAAUCGAAUCGCGUGUUUCUCAUAAGCACAUAGAAAAGAAGCGAGGAUAAGUAAACAGAACUGUAAAGAAUAAUGUAAUAAAAAGGUUUUAACUCAA